rnacentral:rRNA from 1 species
UACGUAGGGUGCGAGCGUUAAUCGGAAUUACUGGGCGUAAAGCGUGCGCAGGCGGUUCGUUGUGUCGGUGGUGAAAUCCCCGGGCUUAACCUGGGAAUGGCCAUGGAAACUGGCGAACUGGAGUGCGGCAGAGGGGGGUGGAAUUCCGCGUGUAGCAGUGAAAUGCGUAGAGAUCGGGAAGAACAUCGGUGGCGAAAGCGCUCUACUGGACCGCAACUGACACUCAGGGACGAAAGCUAGGGGAGCGAAUGGG